GGCAAUGUAGCUGAGUGGUAAAGUACAUGCUUAAUGUGCAUGAGGCCCUGGGUUUGAUUCCCUGAACUGUGA
rnacentral:tRNA from 1 species